UUAAAUACUUUGAAAAAGGAAAGUAACUUAGAUGUGAAUUUUAAGAGAGGAAAUUUUAUGCUGAAAGAUUUCUAAAUUUAGUUUAAGUGAAGUGCCCUUUUGAGUUAUGCACCGAAUUAACAGUAGGCUGCAUCGGAUUCAUCCGUUACUGUGAUUAAGCAUGAUACUGUGCUUGAAUAAAGAUGGGACUUUCAUGUCUAAUUGGAGUGGAACCGCGGAGUCUAAGCUUCGUCUCUAUA
rnacentral:ncRNA from 1 species